UGGGUUGGCCAGGCGGCCGCGUGUGAAGCGCUUUUCGUGCUUCUCCCGAGGAACGUCCGGGCUCCGCAGGGCAGGGUGGUGGGUAACGCCCACUCGGGGUAACCCGCAGGCAAGUGCCACAGAGAAUAGACCGCCCCGCUGGUUCGCCCAGAGGGGGUAAGGGUGAAACGGUGGUGUAAGAGACCACCAGCGCACCGGGUGACCGGAGCGGCUAGGUAAACCCCACCCGGAGCAAGGCCAGACAGGACACGGUUGAGGGCUGCCCGCCCGAGUGUCCGGGUAGGCCGCUGGAGGGCGUCGGCAACGGCGCUCGUAGAUGGAUGGCCGCCACUGCAGCUCUUCACGGACCUGCAGGACAGAACCCGGCGUAUCGGUCAACCCAUCCA
rnacentral:RNase_P_RNA from 2 species